rnacentral:rRNA from 1 species
CCUCCGGGUUGAUCCUGCCGGACCUGACUGCUAUCGGAUUGGUACUAAGCCAUGCGAGUCGUUGUAGCAAUACAAGGCGGACGGCUCAGUAACACGUAGUCAACCUAACCUAUGGACGUGGAUAACCUCGGGAAACUGAGAAUAAACCGCGAUAGAUCAUUAUGCCUGGAAUGGCUUAUGGUUCAAACAAUUUAUUGCCGUAGGAUGGGACUGCGGCCUAUCAGCUUGUUGGUGAGGUAAUGGCCCACCAAGGCUAUAACAGGUACGGGCUCUGAGAGGAGAAGCCCGGAGAUGGGUACUGAGACACGGACCCAGGCCCUAUGGGGCGCAGCAGGCGAGAAACCUUAGCAAUGUGCGAAAGCACGACUAGGUUAAUCCGAGUGAUUUCUGUUGAAGAAAUCUUUUGUCAGUCGUAAAACCACAGACGAAUAAGGGGUGGGCAAGUCUGGUGUCAGCCGCCGCGGUAAUACCAGCACCUCGAGUGGUCAGGAGGUUUAUUGGGCCUAAAGCAUCCGUAGCCGGCUACGCAAGUCUCCGGUUAAAUCCAGCUGCUCAACAGAUGGGCUGCCGGAGAUACUACAUAGCUAGGGAGCGGGAGAGGUAGACGGUAUUCUGUGGGUAGGGGUAAAAUCCACUGAUCCAUAGAGGACCACCAGUGGCGAAGGCGGUCUACCAGAACGCGUUCGACGGUGAGGGAUGAAAGCUGGGGGAGCAAACCGGAUUAGAUACCCGGGUAGUCCCAGCUGUAAACGAUGCAAACUCGGUGAUGCAUUGGCUUAUGGCCAAUGCAGUGCCGCAGGGAAGCCGUUAAGUUUGCCGCCUGGGAAGUACGGACGCAAGUCUGAAACUUAAAGGAAUUGGCGGGGGAGCA